rnacentral:rRNA from 1 species
AGACCCGAAACCCGGUGAUCUAGCCAUGGGCAGGUUGAAGGUUGGGUAACACUAACUGGAGGACCGAACCGACUAAUGUUGAAAAAUUAGCGGAUGACCUGUGGCUGGGGGUGAAAGGCCAAUCAAACCGGGAGAUAGCUGGUUCUCCCCGAAAGCUAUUUAGGUAGCGCCUCGUGAAUUCAUCUCCGGGGGUAGAGCACUGUUUCGGCUAGGGGGCCAUCCCGGCUUACCAACCCGAUGCAAACUGCGAAUACCGGAGAAUGUUAUCACGGGAGACACACGGCGGGUGCUAACGUCCGUCGUGAAGAGGGAAACAACCCAGACCGCCAGCUAAGGUCCCAAAGUCAUGGUUAAGUGGGAAACGAUGUGGGAAGGCCCAGACAGCCAGGAUGUUGGCUUAGAAGCAGCCAUCAUUUAAAGAAAGCGUAAUAGCUCACUGGUCGAGUCGGCCUGCGCGGAAGAUGUAACGGGGCUAAACCAUGCACCGAAGCUGCGGCAGCGAACGUAUCACCCAAGACAACUUUACGGAGUUGACGAUUGACGGAGCGAAGCGACGUCAAAGCGUUCAUUAAAGUCGAGUUGGCUUAGGGAUACGUUCGUUGGGUAGGGGAGCGUUCUGUAAGCCUGUGAAGGUGUGUCGUGAGGCAUGCUGGAGGUAUCAGAAGUGCGAAUGCUGACAUAAGUAACGAUAAAGCGGGUGAAAAGCCCGCUCGCCGGAAGACCAAGGGUUCCUGUCCAACGUUAAUCGGGGCAGGGUGAGUCGACCCCUAAGGCGAGGCCGAAAGGCGUAGUCGAUGGGAAACGGGUUAAUAUUCCCGUACUUGGUGUUACUGCGAAGGGGGGACGGAGAAGGCUAUGUUGGCCGGGCGACGGUUGUCCCGGUUUAAGGGUGUAGGUGUGUGUUCCAGGUAAAUCCGGUUCACUUUAACACUGAGGCGUGACGACGAGGCACUACGGUGCUGAAGCAACAAAUGCCCUGCUUCCAGGAAAAGCCUCUAAGCAUCAGGUAACACGAAAUCGUACCCCAAACCGACACAGGUGGUCAGGUAGAGAAUACCAAGGCGCUUGAGAGAACUCGGGUGAAGGAACUAGGCAAAAUGGUGCCGUAACUUCGGGAGAAGGCACGCUGACACGUAGGUGAAGUGAUUUACUCAUGGAGCUGAAGUCAGUCGAAGAUACCAGCUGGCUGCAACUGUUUAUUAAAAACACAGCACUGUGCAAACACGAGAGUGGACGUAUACGGUGUGACGCCUGCCCGGUGCCGGAAGGUUAAUUGAUGGGGUCAGCGCAAGCGAAGCUCCUGAUCGAAGCCCCGGUAAACGGCGGCCGUAACUAUAACGGUCCUAAGGUAGCGAAAUUCCUUGUCGGGUAAGUUCCGACCUGCACGAAUGGCGUAAUGAUGGCCAGGCUGUCUCCACCCGAGACUCAGUGAAAUUGAACUCGCUGUGAAGAUGCAGUGUACCCGCGGCAAGACGGAAAGACCCCGUGAACCUUUACUAUAGCUUGACACUGAACAUUGAGCCUUGAUGUGUAGGAUAGGUGGGAGGCUUUGAAGUGUGGACGCCAGUCUGCAUGGAGCCGACCUUGAAAUACCACCCUUUAAUGUUU